GUGGGGAAUAUUGGACAAUGGGCGCAAGCCUGAUCCAGCCAUACCGCGUGGGUGAAGAAGGCCUUCGGGUUGUAAAGCCCUUUUGUUGGGAAAGAAAUCCUGUCGGUUAAUACCUGGCGGGGAUGACGGUACCCAAAGAAUAAGCACCGGCUAACUUCGUGCCAGCAGCCGCGGUAAUACGAAGGGUGCAAGCGUUACUCGGAAUUACUGGGCGUAAAGCGUGCGUAGGUGGUGGUUUAAGUCCGUUGUGAAAGCCCUGGGCUCAACCUGGGAAUUGCAGUGGAUACUGGAUCACUAGAGUGUGGUAGAGGGAUGCGGAAUUUCUGGUGUAGCAGUGAAAUGCGUAGAGAUCAGAAGGAACAUCCGUGGCGAAGGCGGCAUCCUGGGCCAACACUGACACUGAGGCACGAAAGCGUGGGGAGCAAACAGGAUUAGAAACCCCGUAGUCC
rnacentral:rRNA from 1 species